rnacentral:rRNA from 1 species
AUUGAACGCUGGCGGCAUGCCUUACACAUGCAAGUCGAACGGCAGCAUGGAGAGCUUGCUCUCUGAUGGCGAGUGGCGAACGGGUGAGUAAUGCAUCGGAACGUACCGUGUAAUGGGGGAUAACGUAGCGAAAGCUACGCUAAUACCGCAUACGACCUGAGGGUGAAAGCAGGGGAUCGCAAGACCUUGCGUUAUACGAGCGGCCGAUGUCAGAUUAGCUAGUUGGCGAGGUAAAGGCUCACCAAGGCGACGAUCUGUAGCGGGUCUGAGAGGAUGAUCCGCCACACUGGGACUGAGACACGGCCCAGACUCCUACGGGAGGCAGCAGUGGGGAAUUUCGGACAAUGGGGGCAACCCUGAUCCAGCCAUGCCGCGUGAGUGAAGAAGGCCUUCGGGUUGUAAAGCUCUUUCGGCCGGGAAGAAAUCGCACAGGCUAAUACUCUGUGUGGAUGACGGUACCGGCAUAAGAAGCACCGGCUAACUACGUGCCAGCCGCCGCGGUAA